rnacentral:rRNA from 1 species
UACGAAGGGGGCUAGCGUUGCUCGGAAUCACUGGGCGUAAAGCGUGCGCAGGCGGCUGCUCAAGUCAGGGGUGAAAGCCCAGAGCUCAACUCUGGAAUUGCAUUUGAUACUCUGGAGCUUGAGUACGGGAGAGGAGAGUGGAAUUCCCAGUGUAGAGGUGAAAUUCGUAGAUAUUGGGAAGAACACCGGUGGCGAAGGCGGCUCUCUGGACCGUAACUGACGCUGAGGCGCGAAAGCGUGGGGAGCAAACAGG